ACUCCAAGUAUUUUAGGCACACUGCACAGCUGGGUUAAAUAAUUACCCAAUACAUCUUGGAGAGCUGUUUGUAUAAUGCAGCAUCUUACAGAUCAUGUUAUGCCAAGGCAACUGCCAAAUGGCAGACAUGUCUGGACACCUUUCAUUUUUGUCCCAAAGGAGCCAGUUGGAUUUUCAGCUGUCAACUGGGAGACUUACUUUGACCUUCUAUUCUGCAGACUUAGAACUCCGGCUGGCUUUUUCAUCCUGUCACUGAACCGUACUAUCAGAUGAAAUGUGCCCUGGAUUGUUUGGGUCAACAGUUUGAAACAGUUUCGGCCUUUCUUGUCAUGUCCAAACAUGGACAUGGACAUGGACAGCAGACUGGCAGUGCAUAAUAAAGGGACAGUGAAGAGAGAAGAGCAGUACAUUUUCAUUCGUCAGAGGCCAUUGACUGUGUCACACUGACUGAAGAGGCAGACUUGUGAACCAUGCUGCUCUGAUUCAUCACAGUCACACACAAUACACUCCCGUGAGCAACAGUGAUACUAAACGACCGUCUUUCUCGUACCCAGAAAAAAACAUGUAAUCCCCAAGAGUGCAAUCUGAA